UUAAAAGCGUUACAGUUCAGUUCUUGCAGUCUUCACAGGUCCUUGUUGCUAUUAAUAGAUCAUCAAUGUACCGCAAGAGCGUACCUUCCCUUCCCCAAGCGGCGGCAUCCAGGCUUCCAGUUCCUCGGCUAAUCGAUCUCCAAAUAUCACGGGUCUAUUUUUGAAUCCUUGUGGCAAUACAGUCCACGACUAAUUUUGGGAGGCCCAGUCUUCCUCGGGACUUUCAACCCACCCUCAGGGACUCGAACCCCGGACCUGCAGGCGCAGCGAAAAGCAGAAGAAUUCUCGGUAAGAUCAUCUCGGAGAGCUCAAGCGCCGGCCAAAACCUCGCCACGUUCCGCCGUGACGCCACCGAGGGAGGAAAGAGCGUGAGGUGCAAAGCCCCGAGCGGAGCGGUAGGAAACGGGAGGACCG